rnacentral:rRNA from 1 species
UGGGGAAUUUUCCGCAAUGGGCGAAAGCCUGACGGAGCAAUGCCGCGUGGAGGUGGAAGGCCUACGGGUCGUCAACUUCUUUUCUCGGAGAAGAAACAAUGACGGUACCUGAGGAAUAAGCAUCGGCUAACUCUGUCCCAG